rnacentral:rRNA from 1 species
AAUAGAUACCCUGGUAGUCCACGCUGUAAACUAUGGAUACUAGGUGUCCGGAUGUCUAACCGUCUGGGUACCAAGCUCACGCAUUAAGUAUCCCGCCUGGGGAGUACGGUCGCAAGGCUAAAACUCAAAGGAAUUGACGGGGGCCCGCACAAGCGGUGGAGUAUGUGGUUUAAUUCGAAGCAACGCGCAGAACCUUACCUGGGUUUAACAUCCCUUGAUCGCUACAGAGAUGUAGUUUUGCCUUCGGGCACAAGGAGAUAGGUGCUGCAUGGCUGUCGUCAGCUCGUGUCGUAAGAUGUUCGGUUAAGUCCGGCAACGAGCGCAACCCCUAUCCUUAGUUACCACCAUUUAGUUGGGGACUCUAGGGAGACUGCCGGUGUUAAACCGGAGGAAGGCGGGGAUGGCGUCAAGUCCUCAUGGCCCUUAUAUCCAGGGCUACACACGUACUACAAUGGCAAAGCAAAGCGUUCCGAUACCGUAAGGUGAGGUAAUCGCAAAACAUUGUCUCAGUCCGGAUUGAAGUCUGCAACUCGACUUCAUGAAGUUGG